AGAGUUUGAUCAUGGCUCAGAUUGAACGCUGGCGGCAUGCCUUACACAUGCAAGUCGAGCGGCAGCGCGGGGGCAACCCUGGCGGCGAGCGGCGAACGGGUGAGUAAUGCAUCGGAACGUGUCCUUUUGUGGGGGAUAACCAGUCGAAAGACUGGCUAAUACCGCAUGAGCUCGAGAGAGGAAAGCAGGGGAUCCGCAAGGACCUUGCGCGAGAGGAGCGGCCGAUGCCCGAUUAGCUAGUUGGUGAGGUAACGGCUCACCAAGGCGACGAUCGGUAGCUGGUUUGAGAGAACGACCAGCCACACUGGGACUGAGACACGGCCCAGACUCCUACGGGAGGCAGCAGUGGGGAAUUUUGGACAAUGGGGGCAACCCUGAUCCAGCCAUGCCGCGUGUGUGAAGAAGGCCUUCGGGUUGUGAAGCACUUUCAGACGGAACGAAAUCGCGCGGGUUAAUAGUCCGCGUGGAUGACGGUACCGUAAGAAGAAGCACCGGCUAACUACGUGCCAGCAGCCGCGGUAAUACGUAGGGUGCGAGCGUUAAUCGGAAUUACUGGGCGUAAAGUGUGCGCAGGCGGCUCUGCAAGUCGAGUGUGAAAUCCCCGGGCUUAACUUGGGAAUGGCGCUCGAAACUACGGAGCUGGAGUAUGGCAGAGGGAGGUGGAAUUCCACGUGUAGCGGUGAAAUGCGUAGAGAUGUGGAGGAACACCAAUGGCGAAGGCAGCCUCCUGGGCCAAUACUGACGCUCAUGCACGAAAGCGUGGGGAGCAAACAGGAUUAGAUACCCUAGUAGUCC
rnacentral:rRNA from 1 species